rnacentral:lncRNA from 1 species
AGACUCCUCUGCGGGAGAGGAGAAUAGCUGUACUCUAAGCAGUUCGCAGGGAGCAUCUUUCAGCAGCUGAAACAGCUUUGCGGCCUUGCUGUAAUGAAGAUCUGCCAGCACCCGGUGUUGUUUCCUAAGGUGUUCAUCACCAACCUAGAACCAAACCAAAACAAGCAACAAAUCCUUCACGAGAAAGAAAGAAAACAACUGUGUAAGCAGACAUCAGUGUAAACCUUAGCACUGUCUCUUGAUGAGAUAAGAGGAGGAUGGCAGUGACAGGAGUGUGGUGGCGAGCCAGUCACCUGCAGUCAACCACGGCUCAUUGCUCUCACCAUGCCUGUUACAUGAAGGUAUGUAUGUAUAGGAAAAAGCACUGAAAAACUCUCCAGUUUCAGGCAUCCACUGGGGAUCUUGGAACGCAUCCUCCAAGGAUAAGUGGGGUCUACUGUACAACACUUAAGUAUAACCCUCUUCACUAUUAACCAAAUGAUAUUAAAAUAAGCAAAGAAAAACA